AAAUUGAAGAGUUUGAUCAUGGCUCAGAUUGAACGCUGGCGGCAGGCCUAACACAUGCAAGUCGAGCGGUAGCACAGAGAGCUUGCUCUCGGGUGACGAGCGGCGGACGGGUGAGUAAUGUCUGGGAAACUGCCUGAUGGAGGGGGAUAACUACUGGAAACGGUGGCUAAUACCGCAUAAUGUCGCAAGACCAAAGUGGGGGACCUUCGGGCCUCAUGCCAUCAGAUGUGCCCAGAUGGGAUUAGCUAGUAGGUGGGGUAACGGCUCACCUAGGCGACGAUCCCUAGCUGGUCUGAGAGGAUGACCAGCCACACUGGAACUGAGACACGGUCCAGACUCCUACGGGAGGCAGCAGUGGGGAAUAUUGCACAAUGGGCGCAAGCCUGAUGCAGCCAUGCCGCGUGUGUGAAGAAGGCCUUCGGGUUGUAAAGCACUUUCAGCGGGGAGGAAGGCGUUAAGGUUAAUAACCUUGGCGAUUGACGUUACCCGCAGAAGAAGCACCGGCUAACUCCGUGCCAGCAGCCGCGGUAAUACGGAGGGUGCAAGCGUUAAUCGGAAUUACUGGGCGUAAAGCGCACGCAGGCGGUCUGUCAAGUCGGAUGUGAAAUCCCCGGGCUCAACCUGGGAACUGCAUUCGAAACUGGCAGGCUAGAGUCUUGUAGAGGGGGGUAGAAUUCCAGGUGUAGCGGUGAAAUGCGUAGAGAUCUGGAGGAAUACCGGUGGCGAAGGCGGCCCCCUGGACAAAGACUGACGCUCAGGUGCGAAAGCGUGGGGAGCAAACAGGAUUAGAUACCCUGGUAGUCCACGCCGUAAACGAUGUCGAUUUGGAGGUUGUGCCCUUGAGGCGUGGCUUCCGGAGCUAACGCGUUAAAUCGACCGCCUGGGGAGUACGGCCGCAAGGUUAAAACUCAAAUGAAUUGACGGGGGCCCGCACAAGCGGUGGAGCAUGUGGUUUAAUUCGAUGCAACGCGAAGAACCUUACCUGGUCUUGACAUCCACAGAACUUUCCAGAGAUGGAUUGGUGCCUUCGGGAACUGUGAGACAGGUGCUGCAUGGCUGUCGUCAGCUCGUGUUGUGAAAUGUUGGGUUAAGUCCCGCAACGAGCGCAACCCUUAUCCUUUGUUGCCAGCGGUCCGGACGGGAACUCAAAGGAGACUGCCAGUGAUAAACUGGAGGAAGGUGGGGAUGACGUCAAGUCAUCAUGGCCCUUACGACCAGGGCUACACACGUGCUACAAUGGCAUAUACAAAGAGAAGCGACCUCGCGAGAGCAAGCGGACCUCAUAAAGUAUGUCGUAGUCCGGAUUGGAGUCUGCAACUCGACUCCAUGAAGUCGGAAUCGCUAGUAAUCGUAGAUCAGAAUGCUACGGUGAAUACGUUCCCGGGCCUUGUACACACCGCCCGUCACACCAUGGGAGUGGGUUGCAAAAGAAGUAGGUAGCUUAACCUUCGGGAGGGCGCUUACCACUUUGUGAUUCAUGACUGGGGUGAAGUCGUAACAAGGUAACCGUAGGGGAACCUGCGGUUGGAUCACCUCCUUACCUUAAAGAA
rnacentral:rRNA from 1 species